CAAAAACCAAAAACCAGGAAAUGAAAAACAAGGCUUAAUGAUCAGUUGGUGUCAAAACGUGACAGCAGGUCUCCAGAACUUCCUACCAGCACCAGGCUGCAGCUGGCUCAGGCGUCUGUCCUCAGCCUUCCGUCCAUGUGCGUCUCAAGGACAGGCCGUGGCUGUUGGCCUCCCACACUUCCCACCCUGUGAACGGAGUGGGGAGCAGCCCGGGCUCCUCCUGCCCCACGGGCGUGCUCACAUUCAUCAUCCAGACCAAGGGAUGGGUGAUCCACAGCACCUUCCUGCCCUUCCCCCAGGAGAGUUUCCCUUAAAUUCACUUACUCAGUUCUUCAACAAGUACUGCCUUCUAAGUGCUGACUGCUGUAUUAGGAGCUGGGGACACAGCAGCGACACACAGAAAAGUCCCUGUCACUGUGGCGCCCAUAUUCUAGUGUUUAAGUAGAGAUUAAAAUAGCAAACUAAAGGGAAAUUGCCCAGGUGGUUUCUGCAGACGUCAACCAGCGAGUGGAGGUGCAGCUCGCCUUCCUACCACCAAGGAGGGGGAUGGCUAGCUCAGCGGCACAUACACACCACCCUUCACUGUCUGCCUGAACUCUGGUCACUUCUGCAGCAACGUCAGUCCCCUGGAUGGAUCAGGUUUCCCCUGGGCCACAGCCCUGAUGAUGAUGAUGCCCCUGUACCUCUCGCAUGUGGGAGUCCGCGCGUUGCCUUUCCUGGUCAUCCCAUCCCAGGUCUCCAGUUUGGACAAUUGACCCUACAACAUGAGAAGUUGUGGCAUGUGGGACACCGCCUCAGCGUGGCUUGACAAGCAGUGCCAUGUCCGUGCCCAGGAUUACGAACCAACGAAACACUGGGCCCCCUGCAGCGGAGCGCGCGAACUUAACCACUCGGCCACGGGGCCAGCUCCAGUCCUUAAAAGGAAGAAAUCGGUUUCAGGAUGCAACUCACAGGUCCAUUCCAGAAGGUCAGGAGGUGCAGACGAGUUGAGCUGUUGACUCAGCUGAGACAUGCUCCUAACAUCGUCCUGCUUAAGUGCACGCAUCUUUUCAAGUGCAGCUAACUUACAGCCCAAGACAGAGGUCUGAUUUUUACAGAAGCUCCAAGAACUUCAUGGAGUUUUGUCCUCAAAGCAGACAGGGACGUGGGGCAGCUGCAGGAGAACGGGAGGAGGAGAGGCCGACGGCGCCGGGCGCAUGCGGAACGAGCGGGUGCCCACCCCAGGGCCCCGCCUUGUGUCUGUGACUCUGCUCUCUAAAGGCUGGCUGUGGAGUGAGACCACGUCAUUCAUUAUCAGCUGGCUUAUCUCCCUCUUGGUUUAUUUGUAGAAAGUUUCCGAAGCGUAUCUGUGAACCCUUAUUCCAUGGGAUGUCAACAAGUGUUACACACACACACACACACACACACACACAAACAGAAAAAACAACUAUCCACAGUCAAAUAAGCUUCUUUACUGCAGAAUUCUCAGGAAUUCUAGGAUCCCAGGCACACUGCGAAUCAGCACGAGAGGAACCCUGAGUGGACACGCUCAUGUUUACUGGUGAUGACGCUUUUUUCUGCAGAACAUCUGACAGGAACAGCACUGCCUGGAAGGAAGCUCAGGAAACACAGGCUUAGCUUCCUCUCUAAAUCAGUUUAUUCUCUUGUGGAUACCAGGGAUGGCAAGGAAGAUGCUUCAUCACGUAGAACAGAGAAGAAAGUGGUUCUGGGAUUAAACUGUUGUUAUAGGGAACUCACAGAACGGCCAAUUCACGCGGACAAAAUCUCUGAGAACUGACAGUUACCGUUGUGUAACUUCAUAAUGGGAUGGCGAGGAUGGGCCCUGGGCUCGUUUUUAUAUACACUGUGAAAGUUGGCAAUAGCAAUCUAUCCCUCGGUAUUUUAGAUCAAUUAUGUAAAGUUAGAAUCAUUUCGAUUUCAUUUCUCUCAAUCCACCAGACCUGAUUUUUAAAAAUUCAAGAUUCACUCAUUUGAUUUAAGUAUCACUAGUGUGAAGUAUUUCCAUCCUCCUUCUACUGGAAGCGAAUUUCCCGGUUAGGACACGGCUUCACUAGAGACGAGUAACAGCGGCUGUAACUGGAUGCUGUGUGAUUUCAUCACGCUGUGAAAACACUUCGACCAGUCCAAAUUGGUCUAUGAAGGUUUCUUUCUGUUUGUUCCAGUUCCAGCUCUCCUAAUCACUCCAGCUCCUGUGUUUGCUGGGAUUUUGUGAUAUCUCUGGAUUCUGACACAUGCUAUGAUUCAGUGCCAAAUUCCAUUUCCUAAGUUAUUG
rnacentral:lncRNA from 1 species